UUUCCUGUCCCUCUCUAGAAACACUCUGCUGAACCGUCAACAGUGUUGGAUUUCAAAGGAGCACGGGGCUAAUGCUCCCGGGUGAGGCUGAUUGAGUCAAUUUGUCGACAUGAUGGACGUUCUGUGGCCCCGGCUCCUGCUCUGCUGCUGACUGCAGGCUACAGGACUGACAGAGGCUUUCAGGUAUGAGCCUGCUGAGACCGUUUUCCGCCAAUAGGGGAGGUCUGAACAUGGGGGAGUCACUGGUAGGGUGCGGGGGUCAGAGGCAUUCAUUGUCAGGUCAGUAAUUAUCAGAUUUGCUGAGGCCUCAGGAGGAGUAAGACACACACACACACACACACACACACAUUAACACUUACACACACUCUUUUAGCAGGCCUCAGGAUGACGGAGGCCAGGCAUAGGGGGGGCUUAGCCGUCAGUGGGACGAGAUGACAGGACGAACCCCAGGGGGAGACGAUAACCAGUGCUCCUCUGACAGCUGCUUAGUGGGAGAUACUGCCACUAAAAUUGCACAAAUACAAAUUAUACCAUACUCCACCACACAUGCAAAAAAUCAGGAAUGCACAAUUUACACAUGUGGAUAUAAACAACAUUUGUACAGUGCAGUGAACUUAUUCAGAAAUACCCAUAAACACUAUGUAAAGUCACUGAGUGCAAAAAAGCAACUGCGUGUGUCACACUAAUAGAGCUUGAUGAAACAAGAUGUCAAUUCUUCACCAGAUAGAUUACCUUUUCAUUCCCCUGAAGCAAUGUUAUUGAUUCCACUUGCCACCAUUUGCCAUAUUUUGCACUUACUGCCCCACUUCAAUUGUGUGAAUAUUGAGCACAAUGUAUUCUCACCAUUUUUCCACUGAGACUUUUUUCAUUUUUAUAUUUUGAUUGUAACAUGAGCACCCUCUGCUGAAGACAUGAUCGGUGCGCCGACUGUAUUUUGCCAGUCCACACUAUAAAGUUAUUAUAACCGUUACACCCUCAUAAUGAAAAAGGAACACAACCCAUGAGGUGAAUAAAGAUAGUGAAUGACCAUUCAGAUGGUCUGAUUGAAACUACUCGUAUUACUGCUCAUUCUGCUACAUUAAGAGUCUGUGUGUGUUUGUGUGUGUGUGUGUGUGUGUGUGUGUGUGUGUGUGUGUGUGCGAUGAUAGUUCUAAAUAGAUUCUAAAGAAGAUUAUUUAGACAUACUUUUUUUUAGUAUUUCCACGACAUUUAUAUCUUAAAGCCAUACUUUUGGUGACAAUAGAGAGUCAUUCUAGUGUGUCGUAUUCAAUAUGUUUUCCUCAAUAAAAAACAAAAUAAUUUGCAGAAUAGCCAUGCAUGAUUGCUGGUUAUACAAUACUUGGAUUAUACUGAAAAGUAUUCUAUAUUUUACCAAGUUUUUUUUAUUUAGCACAUAAAAAAGUCUACAUAAAGACAGCCAUGUCCUCUCUGGGCUGUCUCUGUGACUCUGUACGUGUCUGUUAGUCAAUAACCCUGUAUCUCUUUAAUCUGUGUCUCCGUGUAGCUAUCCCCUGUCACUAAUUUUUUUUAUCACCUGUAUCUCAUUUCUUCCUUAGUCUCUGUGUCUCUUUUUCUUUGUGUCCGUUUUUCUGUCUCUUUUUCUCUGUCUCUGUGUCCAUUUGUGUCUCCAAUUGUCUUUUUUGUCUGUCUCUCAAUAUCAAGUUUCUCUGUUACUUUGUCUGGGUGUCCCUCUGUCUGUGUGUCUCUGUAUCGUUGUCCCUGUUUCUCAGCAUCACUGUGUCUCACUUUCCCUGUCUCAAUCCUUAUAUGUCUCUUUAUCUCUGUCUCCCUUUUUCUUUGUCUCUCAGUUAAUGGGUGUAGUUUGUCAGUGUGCUAUAGGUCUCAUUUCCUCCAUGUCAAACAUGUGCGCACAACAACUUGUCAACAUAGUAAUUUACACUGCUUUGCUCAGAUCAGACCAUACAGAGUGCAGGUUGUUGUGGUGUGUGUGUGUAUCUGCACACACUCUCUCUCUCUCUGCUCCUUGUCUGUGUUGAGUCUAGGUGAUCUCUGACAGGAAGUGAUCCGUGUCACUGCAUACACAUCAACAAACAGGACCUGAGUCUGAGAGGAGGAGGAGGAGGACGGGGUCAGCGGUCAAAGUAGGUGGAGACUGUUGACUGACGGACUUUAGCAGCAAGCAUGUCUGCAGUAUGUUUGACCAGAGGCCUGUCCUGUCAUCAGGCUUCAGCCUGACAGAGGAGAGCAGACAAGGAAGAGGAGCACUCGCAGACAACACAGAGAUGGGUUUUUGUGUGGGGGGCGGGGUUAAGUAAUAGAAGUGGUUUGCUAUAGUUAAAUCUCCAGUCAAUGAAUGUUUAUUCUGCAUAAUGCUUUUUAACCAGCAAAGUAAGAGAGUUCUGUAAGUUCCUAAAAUAUCAUAGCAGUAAUUUUGAUUGUUCAUGUUUUGUUUGCAGAUACUUAAAAUAUUUUUUAAAAAUGAAUCUUUAAUGAUAAGAAAGGGAAUGCAAAAGCAUCAGAGAGGGUUACAAUAAAGACACUCUCCUUAAAGGGGCCACGCUGACAGGCAUCUCCUGUGGCUAAUAUACGCACCGUUGACAAAUACCUAAUAUAACCCCACUUCAAAAAUACCAAACUAUCCCUUUAAGCCUGCAGCCCUGAAACAGGCUGGAAGGACUGCAACUUAACUGUAUUCAGGUUGGAUUACAGUAACAAAAUGUUAUACAAGUUUAAAUUGGACAAACAAAACAUGGUGACCAUGAUGUUUAUAAAGCAGACUCUUUUUUGCACUUAAAUUGCUUCAUGGUGAUUAAAGUAGACAUUAGGGUUGUGAAAAAAGGAUUUUGUCUCAUAGUAUCUGACCAUAUAGCUGUUAAUUUAAAACAUAAAAUAUUUAAUUUGAAGCGGCGUGGAGAUCGUAUACAGUGUGUGGAAUUUGGCACCUCCUGUGGGAAAGUAUGAAGUCUUAUUUAACGCACUGGUAAUGCGGAUUUGGUCAUGUACAAAAGUCUGCAUCUGGGUGAGGGUCAUACAGUUUUUCCCUUAAAGGAAAAUGAACUAAAUCUGAUCCUAUGAGCAAAUAAAGUUGAUUUGUAAUGUGGAUAAUUCUUAUCCAUGUUAAACCUUUUGAGCGACUGGGGCCGGUCUAAACAUACUGGAAUUAUCUUUAAAGAAGAAAGAAAGCUUCACCUGUCUGUUCUCUGUAUGUUCUCUUUAAUUAAAGUACAUUAUAUGGUUAAUUGUGAAAGGAAGUAGGAACUGGGACCAGUACCAGAGCGUGUAGAGUGACCGGGUCCUGCUGGUUUCUGUGGUAAGUGUUGUGUUUUGUCUUGGAGACCUUGGAGCCUGCUGUGCUGCAGCUGCAAGUGUGUAUGUGAGCAUGUGCCAUCAUAUGUGUGAGCGUGCGUGUGUGUGUGUGUGUGUUUAUGUGAGAAACUCAAAUUCCCCCUGUAUUUUUUAUGGGAAGUUUACUGUCCCCAAAUAUUAUGGAGAAAAGCAUUUUCUGCAAUGUCCAUUUCCAAAUCUCUUUAUUUACAGCGUUGGCGUGUGAUGGAGGAGCCGCGUCGUCUCUCCCAAUAACAGACCGUCAUAUUGAUGGAGACGCCACAGGGGGAGAGAGCAACAGCCUGAGUCCAUCCCUCUGAAACACUGUUUACUCCCUGCAAGGUCACAGGGACGCGCACUUCCAUGCACACAUCAACAAGACAGCAAACAGACAGAGCAUGGAGAAGCAUUAGUUUGGUUUGACCAGAGGCGCAACCUGUUUGGAGAAGAAAAUGAUGGAGGUAUGAGUUUACUGUGCAAGCGUGCACAAACAUUUGGCAACAUGGGAAAACCUACAAGAAAGCAAAACCAACAUUCAGAGGAGCAGUCUAACGAAGAUCACCAACACGAGGGAACGCUAGCUCGCCAAAACACUGAACACGCUGCUAGCAACGCGCCACUGACACUUGCAGACAUGGAGAAACUUCUCAAGUCCAUGGAAGACCGCAUCAUUGAAAAGCAACACUGAGACUCUCCGCUGACCGAGCAGCCAUUGACCGACAUGACCAGACAAUUCAAGAAAUGGAAACAUCACUUAACGACAUGGAGGCCAGAUUAACAACUGGAGUCCACCUGCUUAGCCCUGUCCAAAGAAAACGAGACCCUCAAAUUUAAGACGGAUGACCUGGAAAAUAAAUCGAGGCGCAACAACAUCCAUAUAACAGGCUUACCUGAGGAAGUUGAGGGUCAGCAUCCAUCCUCGUUCAUGGAAAUAUUCCUUACAGAACUUUUUGGAGCAGACGCUUUUCCUACCCCCCUGGACUGUGGACAGAGCCCACAGAGUAGCCACAGAAGCUGGUGAGAGAGGAUGGGUCCCUAUCCUUCCGUGGCUCCAAGAUACACAUCUUUCCCGCCUACAACGUAGAGGUGUCCAAAAGGAGAUCAGCAUACUCCGCAGUAAAAUCAGCGCUACAAAAUGAGGGCUGCAAAUUUUGACAGUCCAUUCAGCACCUUGAGAAGCAACCGCGUGUUCAGAACAGAACAAAGCUCUAUCCCCCCCUCCCUAGAUAAGUCUGCUAAAAAAUACUCAAUUUAUUUGUUCCUUACACCAAAUGGAGUAGUUUACUGUGUGUCUGUUUCUAGUGAGUCUCAGUUUAACUGUAAAUAGUAAGUUACACAGAGGCGUAACUCUGGCUCACUUCAGCUGUAAGAGCCAGUAAAAUAAACUAAUAUUUUUGAGAUUUACUCCAGAUGAGCAGCAGAAAACGAAACGCUUGUGUUUUGAAUGAGGGUCGAUCGAUCAUUUCUGAUGCAGUUCAGGAAGUUGGGAAAUCUUAAUGCAGAUCGGCCUUCAGGACACAGCGCCAAGCAGAUUAGUUGCUCAAUUUGAAAUGUUUGAUUUAGAACAGAGUGUUGGCUGCACUUGCAUACAGGUAUCUAUUUAGAUUUGUCAUUGAUGUGAUUUAGUUCCUCCUGCUUUUACUCUCCUUACAGACUGAAGUUCUUGCAUACACCAAAGUCUGCUGAUAUGUGCUUGUUCAUUGGGCUACAAAUGUACUUUUCAUAGUAAAUACUAGACCUGGCCAACAGAUUCUUUACACAGCACGAGUUAGUUUCCAGAUUCUUAAAUAUCAUUCAGACAGACAGACUGGCUAAACUUAGCAGAGCCCAUUUUUAGGAAAUUAGGGUGUGUUUUGGUAGUAGCAGCUUAUGAGAACAUGCAGGUUGACAAGGACUCUAAGAUCACUUCUUUCUCAUUCCAUAAUUUUUUUCUGAAGUCUUCAGCUUCAACUGGCUCUGCCUACCAACCAAAAGUAAUUAUUAUCCAACUCUAGACUUGUUUUAAAUAUCCAUCUGUAUAAAGCACAAACCUGUGAAGGACUUGUUGGGUUGGAUCAGUCUUAUAAGGUGUCAACUUUGCAAAGAGUCAAAAAUCAGAAAAAUAUGUAUUAGCAUGCAUAAAUCCUAACUAUUCACUGAGUAGAUUACAUCAUUUAAAAUCUCUUCCCUUUAUCUUUGUUGUGAAAUGCAGCCUCUGGUUCAAUAAGCAGUAUCCUAAUAUUUAAACAUAAUUCAUAAACAAACAAAUCAAAAAGUGGUGUCUUGCCAACAAACGAUUUAGUCCUGGAUCAAGCCACAUCAUCACAUGGUUUUUAUUCUUUUGUGUUCUUACGCAAUACUUAGAAGAUCUUGAAGCUGCUUGCUGAAUAACAGUUUCAUAUGUGAGAAAAUACGGUUUGGAGCUUAUUUGAGAUUUACUCUGAGGCUAACGUGGAUUUUCCAUUUAGAUCCUCCUUGACAGAAAUGGUGACUCAGGGAUUUAAGUUUCUUUUUAUUCUGGAAUAAAAGAGAUAGAAUGGAAA